UACGAAGGGGGCUAGCGUUGCUCGGAAUCACUGGGCGUAAAGCGCACGUAGGCGGAUCGUUAAGUCGGGGGUGAAAUCCUGGAGCUCAACUCCAGAACUGCCUCCGAUACUGGCGAUCUUGGAGUCCGGGAGGGGAGAGCGGAAUUCCUAGUGUAGCGGUGAAAUGCGCAGAUAUUAGGAAGAACACCGGUGGCGAAGGCGGCUCUCUGGAACGGUACUGACGCUGAGACGCGAAAGCGUGGGGAGCGAACAGG
rnacentral:rRNA from 1 species